rnacentral:rRNA from 1 species
AGUGAACGCUGGCGGUAGGCCUAACACAUGCAAGUCGAACGGCAGCACAGUAAGAGCUUGCUCUUACGGGUGGCGAGUGGCGGACGGUUGAGGAAUACAUCGGAAUCUACUUUUGCGUGGGGGAUAACGUAGGGAAACUUACGCUAAUACCGCAUACGACCUACGGGUGAAAGCAGGGGAUCUUCGGACCUUGCGCGAUUGAAUGAGCCGAUGUCGGAUUAGCUAGUUGGCGGGGUAAAGGCCCACCAAGGCGACGAUCCGUAGCUGGUCUGAGAGGAUGAUCAGUCACACUGGAACUGAGACACGGUCCAGACUCCUACGGGAGGCAGCAGUGGGGAAUAUUGGACAAUGGGCGCAAGCCUGAUCCAGCCAUACCGCGUGGGUGAAGAAGGCCUUCGGGUUGUAAAGCCCUUUUGUUGGGAAAGAAAAGCAGCAGGUUAAUACCCCGCUGUUCUGACGGUACCCAAAGAAUAAGCACCGGCUAACUUCGUG